rnacentral:rRNA from 1 species
UACGUAGGCAGCAAGCGUUGUUCGGAGUUACUGGGCGUAAAGGGUGUGUAGGCGGUUCUUUAAGUUUGCUGUGAAAUCUCCCGGCUUAACCGGGAGGGUGCGGUGAAUACUGAGGGACUAGAGUACGGGAGAGGAAAGUGGAAUUCCUGGUGUAGCGGUGAAAUGCGUAGAUAUCAGGAGGAACACCGGUGGUGUAGACGGCUCUCUGGACCGUAACUGACGCUGAGGCACGAAAGCGUGGGUAGCAAACAGG